AUUGAACGCUGGCGGUAGGCCUAACGCAUGCAAGUCGAGCGGCAGCACAGGAGAGCUUGCUCUCUGGGUGGCGAGUGGCGGACGGGUGAGGAAUACAUCGGAAUCUACUUUUUCGUGGGGGAUAACGUAGGGAAACUUACGCUAAUACCGCAUACGACCUACGGGUGAAAGCAGGGGACCUUCGGGCCUUGCGCGAUUGAAUGAGCCGAUGUCGGAUCAGCUAGUUGGCGGGGUAAAGGCCCACCAAGGCGACGAUCCGUAGCUGGUCUGAGAGGAUGCUCCGCCACACGGGAACUGAGACACGGUCCAGGCUCCUACGGGAGGCAGCAGUGGGGAAUAUUGGACAAUGGGCGCAAGCCUGAUCCAGCCAUACCGCGUGGGUGAAGAAGGCCUUCGGGUUGUAAAGCCCUUUUGUUGGGAAAGAAAUCCAGCUGGCUAAUACCCGGUUGGGAUGACGGUACCCAAAGAAUAAGCACCGGCUAACUUCGUGCCAGCAGCCGCGGUAA
rnacentral:rRNA from 1 species